rnacentral:lncRNA from 1 species
AUUCAAAAAAAAAAAUAUAUAUAUAUAUAUACCAUACCGAUUUAAUUCCAGAUUAGGUCCGAGUCUUAGCAUUUAAAUUACUAAUAUAUCCAUCUAGUUUAUUUGAGCGGGCCUAGGUAAUAACUAUCUAUAUACUACUACUUGCUCGAGACUUGCUAUGAAUCAGGUCUAAUUCGGACACCGGUACCCGUAUGCAUAUAUUUUUUAGGUUAAUAAACUUUAAAUUUCUCACUUUAGUACCAUAUGGUUUAAAGUGUAUCAAUUUAGUGCCAUAUGAUUUUAUUUUUCUCUUUUUGUCAGUUUCUCCGCUAAUUUUUUGCUAAAUCAUAUAUAAAGAACUUCAGAUAUAUCGAGUAUUUACUUUAAUACUCUUUUGUUUUAAUUUUGUCAUUAAUUUAACAAAAAAAUUAGUGAAAGGGAUAACAAAAAGAGAAAUAAAAUUACAGGAGUACGAAAGUGAUACACUUUAAACCAUUGGGUACUAAAGUGAAAAAGGGCGAAACCACAGGAAUGGUAUUUGAAGUUUUUUCUAUUUUUUAUAGAUUUUAUUAAACUGUAG